rnacentral:rRNA from 1 species
AUUGAACGCUGGCGGCAUGCUUUACACAUGCAAGUCGAACGGCAGCGCGGGCUUCGGCCUGGCGGCGAGUGGCGAACGGGUGAGUAAUGCAUCGGAACGUGCCCAGUAGUGGGGGAUAGCCCGGCGAAAGCCGGAUUAAUACCGCAUACGACCUGAGGGUGAAAGCGGGGGACCGAAAGGCCUCGCGCUAUUGGAGCGGCCGAUGUCGGAUUAGCUAGUUGGUGGGGUAAAGGCUUACCAAGGCGACGAUCCGUAGCUGGUCUGAGAGGACGACCAGCCACACUGGGCCUGAGACACGGCCCAGACUCCUACGGGAGGCAGCAGUGGGGAAUUUUGGACAAUGGGGGCAACCCUGAUCCAGCCAUGCCGCGUGCGGGAAGAAGGCCUUCGGGUUGUAAACCGCUUUUGUUCGGGAAGAAAUCCUCUGGGCUAAUACCCCGGGGGGAUGACGGUACCGGAAGAAUAAGCACCGGCUAACUACGU